GACGAACGCUGGCGGCGCGCCUAACACAUGCAAGUCGAACGAGCGAGAGAGAGCUUGCUUUCUCAAGCGAGUGGCGAACGGGUGAGUAACGCGUGAGGAACCUGCCUCAAAGAGGGGGACAACAGUUGGAAACGACUGCUAAUACCGCAUAAGCCCACAGGUCGGCAUCGACCAGAGGGAAAAGGAGCAAUCCGCUUUGAGAUGGCCUCGCGUCCGAUUAGCUAGUUGGUGAGGUAACGGCCCACCAAGGCAACGAUCGGUAGCCGGACUGAGAGGUUGAACGGCCACAUUGGGACUGAGACACGGCCCAGACUCCUACGGGAGGCAGCAGUGGGGAAUAUUGCACAAUGGGGGAAAACCUGAUGCAGCGACGCCGCGUGGAGGAAGAAGGUCUUCGGAUUGUAAACUCCUGUUGUUGAGGAAGAUAAUGACGGUACUCAACAAGGAAGUGACGGCUAACUACGUG
rnacentral:rRNA from 1 species